UAGUCCACGCAGUAAACGAUGAGUGCUAGUUAUUGGGGUCUUUGACUUCGGUGGCGAAGCUAACGCGUUAAGCACUCCGCCUGGGGAGUACGGCCGCAAGGCUAAAACUCAAAGGAAUUGACGGGGACCCGCACAAGCAGUGGAGCAUGUGGUUUAAUUCGAUGCUACGCGAAAAACCUUACCAGCUCUUGUAUCCUAAUCGCGAUUUUCAGAGAUGAUUAUCUUCAGUUCGGCUGGAUUAGUGACAGGUGUUGCAUGGCUGUCGUCAGCUCGUGUCGUGAGAUGUUAGGUUAAGUCCUUCAACGAGCGCAACCCUCAUCCUUAUUUGCCAUCAGGUUAUGCUGGGAACUAUAAGGAAACUGCCAACGACAAGUUGGAGGAAGGUGGGGAUGAUGUCAAGUCAUCAUGGCCCUUAUGGGCUGGGCUACACACAUGCUACAAUGGCGAUUACAACGGGUAUGCAAUACAGUAAUGUUGAGCUAAUCCUUC
rnacentral:rRNA from 1 species